GUAUCAUAGUGUGGGUAUUAUAAUAAAAGUAACUUGAAGCCAUCCCAUGCUUCAUGAAAGAAUUCAGUAUCCUUUUAAUAAAAGUAAAAUAUUUCAACCUUUAACUC
rfam:Ricinus communis cultivar Hale ctg_1100012350355, whole genome shotgun sequence.